CGGAGGGGGCUAGCGUUGUUCGGAAUUACUGGGCGUAAAGCGCACGUAGGCGGCUUUGUAAGUUAGAGGUGAAAGCCUGAUGCUCAACAUCAGAAUUGCCUUUAAGACUGCAUCGCUUGAACGUCGGAGAGGUGAGUGGAAUUCCGAGUGUAGAGGUGAAAUUCGUAGAUAUUCGGAAGAACACCAGUGGCGAAGGCGGCUCACUGGACGACUGUUGACGCCGAGGUGCGAAAGCGUGGGGAGCAAACAGGAUUAGAUACCCUGGUAGUCCACGCCGUAAACGAUGAUAACUAGCUGUCCGGGCACUUGGUGCCUGGGUGGCGCAGCUAACGCAUUAAGUUAUCCGCCUGGGGAGUACGGCCGCAAGGUUA
rnacentral:rRNA from 1 species